UACGUAGGGGGCAAGCGUUGUCCGGAUUUAUUGGGCGUAAAGAGCUCGUAGGCGGCUAUUCACGUCGGAUGUGAAAGCUCAAGGCUCAACCUUGAGAGGCCAUUCAAUACGGGAUAGCUAGAGGUAGGUAGGGGAGAUCGGAAUUCCUGGUGUAGCGGUGAAAUGCGCAGAUAUCAGGAGGAACACCGAUGGCGAAGGCAGCUCUCUGGUACGUGACUGACGCUGAGACGCGAAAGCGUGGGGAGCAAACAGG
rnacentral:rRNA from 1 species